UACGGAGGAUGCGAGCGUUAUCCGGAUUUAUUGGGUUUAAAGGGUGCGUAGGCGGCAUUAUAAGUUAGUGGUAAAAUAUUGGGGCUUCACCUCACUACGCCAUUAAUACUGUAGAGCUAGAGAACAGACGAGGUAGGCGGAAUAAGUUAAGUAGCGGUGAAAUGCAUAGAUAUCACGAAGAACUCCGAUUGCGAAGGCAGCUCACUGGACUGCAACUGACACUGAGGCUCGAAAGUGUGGGUAUCAAACAGG
rnacentral:rRNA from 1 species